GUGGGGAAUAUUGGACAAUGGGGGGAACCCUGAUCCAGCCAUGCCGCGUGUGUGAAGAAGGCCUUUUGGUUGUAAAGCACUUUAAGCGAGGAGGAGGCUACCGAGAUUAAUACUCUUGGAUAGUGGACGUUACUCGCAGAAUAAGCACCGGCUAACUCUGUGUCAGCAGCCGCGGUAAUACAGAGGGUGCAAGCGUUAAUCGGAUUUACUGGGCGUAAAGCGCGCGUAGGUGGCCAAUUAAGUCAAAUGUGAAAUCCCCGAGCUUAACUUGGGAAUUGCAUUCGAUACUGGUUGGCUAGAGUAUGGGAGAGGAUGGUAGAAUUCCAGGUGUAGCGGUGAAAUGCGUAGAGAUCUGGAGGAAUACCGAUGGCGAAGGCAGCCAUCUGGCCUAAUACUGACACUGAGGUGCGAAAGCAUGGGGAGCAAACAGGAUUAGAAACCCGUGUAGUCC
rnacentral:rRNA from 1 species